rnacentral:lncRNA from 1 species
AAAAUUCCGCAAACAGGUCAGAACACCAAAUGGGGUGCAAUCAAGAGUUGCACCAAAGCAGUAAUAGUAUCAGGUAAAUAAAGCAUGGUUAUAAUAAAACAGGUCAGAUGAGCAAAGAUCAAAACAGAACGAAAAACAGCGACUGUCAUGUUCGCUACUGCCUCGCCUAGCGAAGGCUUAGCGAGCACUCGCUACAUGUUCGC